GGUUAAGCGACUAAGCGUACACGGUGGAUGCCUAGGCAGUCAGAGGCGAUGAAGGGCGUGCUAAUCUGCGAAAAGCGUCGGUAAGGUGAUAUGAACCGUUAUAACCGACGAUACCCGAAUGGGGAAACCCAGUGCAAUUCGUUGCACUAUUGCAUGGUGAAUACAUAGCCAUGCAGGCGAACCGGGGGAACUGAAACAUCUAAGUACCCCGAGGAAAAGAAAUCAACCGAA
rnacentral:rRNA from 1 species